CCACUUUCCAAAUAAAAUUAUAUUUUGAUGAAUUUAACAAGAAAAUAAGUAGAAUGAAAAGAAAUACUAACAUUGAUCUUCUAGUCUCCAUAUGAGAUCUCCAGCUUAUUCCACUCUUAUAAAAACUUUUAUUUAUGAAAAUAAUGAAAACCAGGAACAAUAAUCUGCCAAAACGUAUGGGAAAAAAAAAUACACAUUCAAUUAGUUUAAUAAGAAACUGCAAAUUCUAUAGGAAAAUAUACAGUACCUCUCCAUCAUUGGCAAUGACUAAGUCAAGUGAAAGAUGGAUUUGCAAAGUACACAAAAACUAAAAGAUGAUAUGAUUACUUCAGAUAUAAAUGCUCUGAAAAUACAUAUAUCAAAUAAAGAAGAAACCAUAUCCUUUUGAUCAAUGACAAUUUGAGAAUUUAAAGUCAAUAUGUUCGGAAUGUCAUCUUAUUAUGUGUAAAUUUUAAAUCUUUAUGUAUAUGUAAACAUAAUUCGAGCAAAAAACAAUUAGUUCAAUUCAACAAUAGAAUCUGUCCUAAACCUGUCUCUAUUUUCCAUACUAAAACAUAAAGAAAAAAAUAAUAAAAAGAAGACAAAAAAGAUAUAUUUGAAAAAAUAAUUCUACAAUAAUAACAAACUCAGUAUAAUUCCAUGAGUGGAAUUUGGGAAAAAUAAUGUGUAUGCAGAUCUUACCCUACCUUGUGAAAACAGAAAUAAUAUUUUCAAUAAACUGUCGGCUCAAGAAACAAACAAAAUACCACAAAAGUUAAAACCUACCUUUGCAAAUACUAGGCAAUGAGAAACCACAUGGGAAACAAAAUCUUGUUUUUUUCUUCUUCUUCCUUCUUUAUUUGUGGUGAAGAAGGUGUUGAAGGUUUAAGUUUUGUAUGAGAAGAGAGGAAGAAAGAAAGGAAACACUCAACCAUAAUUCUUUCUGAUUGAAUUCUCCAACUUUUUAACAUAUAUAGCUAUUUAUGAAGUUAGAAUAAAAUAUAUGUUAUGUGAGAUGUGGAACUAUUUUCUGGUGAGAUUACCAAAAAAGAAAAUUAAAAUAUGUCUUUUCAAGUCAAUAG
rnacentral:lncRNA from 1 species